rnacentral:rRNA from 1 species
UACGAGAGGUGCAAGCGUUAUUCGGAAUUAUUGGGUGUAAAGGGCGCGUAGACGGCGCGUUAAGUUUACUGUUAAAUCCUUCGGCUCAACUGAAGAUAUGCAGUAAAUACUGGCGUGCUAGAGGAUGGAAGAGAGAAGUGGAAUUCUUGGAGUAGCGGUAAAAUGCGUAGAUCUCAAGAGGAACACCGAUGGCGAAGGCAGCU